rnacentral:lncRNA from 1 species
CACCAGAUGGUGCUCCAGCUACCCGUGAAUGGCCUACUCUCCCUGCUCAUGCCUUCUCAUCCCUCUACUCUCUUUCGCCUCCGCCGGUAA